rnacentral:rRNA from 1 species
GGUGAACGCUGGCGGUGCGCCUAAUACAUGCAAGUCGAACGAGAAGCUGGAUUUAUUCAGUGGAAAGUGGCGGACGAGCGAGUAACACGUAAGAACCUGCCCUCUACUCAGGGAUAACUGGUCGAAAGAUCAGCUAAUACCGGAUAGUUCCCGAAAGGGUAAAGAUUUAUCGGUAGAGGAGGGGCUUGCGGCCUAUCAGUUUGUUGGUGAGGUAAAGGCUCACCAAGACUAUGACGGGUAGCUGAUGUGAGAGCAUGAUCAGCCGCGAUGGAACUGAGACACGGUCCAUACUCCUACGGGAGGCAGCAGUAAGGAAUCUUCCGCAAUGGGCGAAAGCCUGACGGAGCGACACCGCGUGGUGGAUGACGGCCUAUGGGUUGUAAACACCUUUUCUAUGGGAAGAAGAUCUGACGGUACCAUAGGAAUAAGCCCCGGCUAAUUACG